GAUGAACGCUGGCGGCGUGCCUAAUACAUGCAAGUCGAGCGAACGGACGAUAAGCUUGCUUCUCUGAUGUUAGCGGCGGACGGGUGAGUAACACGUGGAUCACCUACCUAUAAGACUGGGAUAACUUCGGGAAACCGGAGCUAAUACCGGAUAAUAUUUUGAACCGCAUGGUUCAAAAGUGAAAGACGGUCUUGCUGUCACUUAUAGAUGGAUCCGCGCUGCAUUAGCUAGUUGGUAAGGUACCGGUUUACCAAGGCAACGAUGCAUAGCCGACCUGAGAGGAUGAUAGGCCACACUGGAACUGAGACACGGUCCAGACUCCUACGGGAGGCAGCAGGAGGGAAUCUUAGGCAAUGGGCGAAAGCCUGACGGAGCAACGCCGAGUGAGUGAUGAAGGUCUUCGGAUUGUAAAGCUCUGUUAUUAGGGAAGAACAGAUGUGUAAGUAACUGUGCACAUCUUGACGGUACCUAAUCAGAAAGCCACGGCUAACUACGUG
rnacentral:rRNA from 1 species